UCCUUAAAGCCCUCGCCUUCUCCGGCACCGCCGCUGUCGCCACUAUCUUCCUCCGCUUCACUCCGGUCAUCGACAGCGGCGGUGGAGACUGGUUCGGGGGAGGCAGUUGGUUAGGCGGCGGCGGCGGUGGCGGCGGCGGCGGAGACGGAGGA
rnacentral:pre_miRNA from 1 species